AGUACAACCUAGCAGGCCAAAGGGACCAGAAAGACGAGCUCACGCAUGGAAAAGUUUGCAAUGCAGCUGCUCCUCACUUGUUGUUUUCUAGUAAUUAGGUUAAGUUGUUUCUCCCUUUUUGGUUUCCCUUCCUAACAAUCCCAAGGCCUGGUUGUCCCUGCUUUUUCAAGUGACAUGGUCCUGUUGGCAGAUGAGCUGAUUGGCACCACUUCCUCAUAACUGUGUCUUAGGGUCCUCAUCUCAUACACAGAAGCUCACUCUAAAGACUCAGCUGCGUCAGUGUCUAUUAUUCAGCAUCAUUAACCGUCAGCGCUCAAGACUCAGAAAUAUCACUUCCUGACAUUCACUAGAUCUUUGUAGAAUUAAUGGUCCUCAUCUGUGGGAC